GAUGAACGCUGACAGAAUGCUUAACACAUGCAAGUCUACUUGAUCCUUCGGGUGAUGGUGGCGGACGGGUGAGUAACGCGUAAAGAACUUGCCCUGCAGUCUGGGACAACAUUUGGAAACGAAUGCUAAUACCGGAUAUUAUGUGAGUUUCGCAUGAAGUUCAUAUGAAAGCUAUAUGCGCUGCAGGAGAGCUUUGCGUCCUAUUAGCUAGUUGGUGAGGUAACGGCUCACCAAGGCGAUGAUAGGUAGCCGGCCUGAGAGGGUGAACGGCCACAAGGGGACUGAGACACGGCCCUUACUCCUACGGGAGGCAGCAGUGGGGAAUAUUGGACAAUGGACCAAAAGUCUGAUCCAGCAAUUCUGUGUGCACGAUGAAGUUUUUCGGAAUGUAAAGUGCUUUCAGUUGGGACGAAGUAAGUGACGGUACCAACAGAAGAAGCGACGGCUAAAUACGUGCCAGCAGCCGCGGUAAUACGUAUGUCGCAAGCGUUAUCCGGAUUUAUUGGGCGUAAAGCGCGUCUAGGCGGUUUGGUAAGUCUGAUGUGAAAAUGCGGGGCUCAACUCCGUAUUGCGUUGGAAACUGCCAAACUAGAGUACUGGAGAGGUGGGCGGAACUACAAGUGUAGAGGUGAAAUUCGUAGGUAUUUGUAGGAAUGCCGAUGGGGAAGCCAGCCCACUGGACAGAUACUGACGCUAAAGCGCGAAAGCGUGGGUAGCAAACAGG
rnacentral:rRNA from 1 species